rnacentral:rRNA from 1 species
GUCUAUAUACGUAUAGCAUAUCAAUAAGCGGAGGAAAAGAAACUAACAAGGAUUCCCCUAGUAACGGCGAGUGAAGCGGGAAGAGCUCAAAUUUGAAAUCUUAAAGGUUUUCCCUUGACGAAUUGUAGUUUAAAGAAGUGUUUUCUGUUGAAGUUUCGGUAAAAGUUCUUUGGAAUAGGACAUCAUAGAGGGUGAGAAUCCCGUAUUUGACCAUUACUUUCCAGCGUUGUGAUACACUUUCAAAGAGUCGGAUUGUUUGGGAAUGCAGUCCAAAAUGGGUGGUAAAUUUCAUCUAAAGCUAAAUAUUGGCGAGAGACCGAUAGCGAACAAGUACCGUGAGGGAAAGAUGAAAAGAACUUUGAAAAGAGAGUUAAACAGUACGUGAAAUUGUCAAAAGGGAAGCGUUUGACACCAGUGUUGUUUUCUCGAAAAUCAAUUAAAAAGUGUUGGAUUUUGUAUUGUUAAGACCUUAUCAGCUUACUGUACUCUUUUCCUGCUCUUUUUAAUGCACUUUUCGUUUAACAAGUCAACAUCAAUUUCUUUUGUUGUAAAAGAGUCAUUGGAAGGUGGCUUUCACUUCGGUGAAAGUGUUUAUAGCCUUUGGCCUCUGCAAUCGGAGAGAUUGAGGUCUGCAGCGUAGAUCCUUCGGGGUUAGAUACAGUUAGAUGCUAAGUUAUAGCCUUUUCAUAGACAACUUGUUGACUAUAAUCAAUCAUGUAGCUUACUCGCUUAUGCUAUUUUACCUACGCUUAGGAUGUUGAUGUGAUACUGCGAGCA